GUAAACCAGCUAGUAGAUUGGCUCGCCUUGGCGAGACAGGGUCCUGGGUUCGAAUCCCAGCGGAAUCACCA
rnacentral:tRNA from 2 species